rnacentral:misc_RNA from 1 species
GGUAUUACUGUCAAAUGGUCAAACUUCCGGUUUGAGAAAACGCAGCAUUUUGUUGAGUUUUUAGAGAAACUUGCAGCUAUUACGCCUUUUCCACAACAAAAUGGAUUGGCAAUUAACGUGUCGGGUGUGUCUAGAAACCGGGGACAUGGUUUCCCUCUUUGAUUGGGACGAAAAUAACGAACAACUUGGCGACAAGUACACCUUCUGUUGCGGCGUGGAGGUGAAUAAAAACGAUAGUUUGCCAACGCUAAUAUGCUUGAAUUGCGUCGAUCGGCUAACUUACGCGUAUCAAUUCAAGCAGCAGUGUAUAACUUCCAACGAUACUCUCAAAGAAUGUUUGGAAGAAUUCAAAAAGUCUUCGGAAGCCGUGUCGGGAGGGAGCUCCGCCAAUGUACCAACGGAGACAGAAACAAUCACAAUAAAGCAGGAGAAUGGUCUGCUUCUCCAAUACGAGUUGCCGGUGGAGCAUGACCCUCAAGGCCAAUGGACUCGCACAUUGGUGAAAACUCCCAGCAGUGCCGUUGUGACUAAGGCUCCGGGACCCAGGAAGAGAGGACGGCCUAGGAAAUAUCCUAAUGAACAGGGACAGAUUGAACUCUCACCGUACCAACGCAAGAAGCCUAAAAACCAAGAAAAGGAACCGGAAGCCUUAACCACACUCCUGGCCGCUGGCUCCCUGGACCUCAAACAAGAGCCCAUUGACAAUGAGGAUGAUGCUUUCGGUCAUGAGGAAUUUGGCAGUGCAGAUGAUGAUCCUGACUUUGAGCCUGCUGGAGAGGAACAGGAAUCUGAACCAGAAACUAAAGAAUUGAAUCCUCCGCCCCGCAAGCGCGGCCGACCACGCAAGUCCUUGCAAGACAAGCCUACUAAACCCAAACCUAAGAAACAGGACGGUGAAGAUGUGCUACUCAAGGAAACUAUCCUGGCAUUCUCCGAGCCCAUACCGGAACAUAUACUCAAUCCAAAGCCUAAGAAGAAGUAUCAGAACAAGAAGAAAUAUAUUUAUGAGAAGACGCACACAUGUGAGACUUGCGGCGCAUCGUUUACAUCCAACGCUUCUCUACAGGCGCAUAUUCGACGCCAUCUUGGAAUCAAACCGUUUGUUUGCAGCGUGUGCGGGUACGCGUGCGUUCUGAACAUGGAGUUGCGCCGGCACAUGAUGCGCCACACGGGCGUCAGGCCGUACAAGUGUCGCGUCUGCGAUCGACGCUUCGGGGACUUUGGAAGUCGACAGAAACAUGAGAGAUUACACAUGGGCGUCCGUCCGUACCAGUGUUCGCUGUGCGGCAAAUCCUUCACGUACUCCUACGUGCUCGCCAACCAUAUGCUCACUCACACCGGGGAGAAGAAAUACUCUUGCGGCCCCUGCAACAAGAAAUUCACGAAAGCCCACCACCUAAAAUACCACAACAAGGUACAUCACAAAGAGCUGUACAUACAACAGCAACUUGAACUGGAAGCCAAGAAGAUGCGCCAACAGAUCAACGUGUCCGGCCUGUCCGGGGUCAUCUCCGGACAGAUUGUGGAUGGCACGCUGCAGCUUAUACAUACUGGAUCUGAAGAUGGUGGUGAAGAAACACAAAUGCAGGUAGUAGAGGAAACUGAAGAUGGUGGGGAUGAUUCCGAGAAAGAGACUGAUCGCGCCGUCGCCGGCAUGCAAGCGGUUGUAUUAGACGCUGAAUUCUGCAUGGACGACGAAGUGAAAGCGGAGUGAAAUAAACCAUAGGUAAUUUUAAUUAAAAACUUAGAACAAUAAACAAUUAUUAAAAUCAAGAACAUUUUUCUGUUUAUUCAACAUAAUAUUACAUGACGACUUCUCUAUGUAUAAGGAUGUUAUUAAAUCCAUGUGAAUGACCAAAAUAUCGAUAUUUGCGUUUCACAUCACUAUUUAUCGAUGUUAGAAAUGUCUAGGAGUUAUCGAUUAAUGUCGAUCGUGAGGGUUUAAUAUUACCCUAUUAAUGUUUAACUGUUAGAAUAUUCCUACAAGGAAAAAAAUACCUAUAGGUACUUUAGGUAUAAAUACCUAUGGCGUAAUUAUGUAGAUCUAUUAAGGUACGAGUUCGCCUGCGGUCGGCUGCGAACUCGUACCUUUAGUGUGUAUUCAAAACUUAACUGGAUGUAAAACAAAAAUGUGUAUAGUAAUGUAAUAAUCUCUAUUUGAACAUUAGAUUUCGGACGAGAUGUGUGUGAUAUCUAUUUUGGAAUAGAGAUUCAUAUUUCAUGUUCAUUUGUAUAAAAAAAAAAACUAAUUAUGUAAAAGUUUAAAAUUUUAUGAUAAAUAGAUAUUUACAUCUGUAGAUUUAUCCAUAAAAUCCAUGAAAUAUUUCCGAUUAUUAUUUCGAUGAAAUUAGCCAAACACAAAAUAUGUACUAUUGUCCAAUAAGUAUGUAAAUUGUUAAAUUUGAUGUGUGUAGGUUUCAAUAUAAUAGAAUCAAAACUAUUCAAUUCAUGUUUUCUACCUACUCUUUAAUACAAUAGAUCUUAAAGAAUUCAAACAGUAAGAGCACUAGUAUUAAUAUGAACUAAAAAAAAAGAAAUAAUUUACUAAUGAAAUAGAUAAAAUAUAAUAAGGUUCAGUUUACUGAACUACUAAAACUACUAAAAGUUCAAACUGAAUACAAAAAUUGUAGCCAAAACUUAAAUUUUACUGUAUACUCUAAUUUCAGCAAAAUUUCAUAACUUAAAGUACUAUGAAGUAUGUAUAGUACCUAAACUUAUUAUGAUUUUGUAGUAAAAAAUAACAUAAACUGUAAAAUAAAGAAGACUUUGAAUAUAAUUAUUAUUGUAAAUAGUAAUUUUAAUGAUCAUCGCGUUAUUUUAUAUUUAAUUACUUAUUUUUAGGUACCUAUUACUUUGAACUAAGAUACCGGCCUUUUCAUACUAUGUAUCUUUGGUAAUAUAACAAAAAUUUAAUGCGCAAAUGACGUUUAGGCUAAUUAUUGGCAGUUUUAAUGGAGUUGCCACGAAUAGUUAUUUGGCCGAAUACCGAAUAUAUAACCUCGGCGCCGAAUAUUCAGGUAUCUCAAAAUCCCAAAAGGUCCCUAAAAAUGGUAGCAAAACAUAUUUGCUAAGAUUUAUUUAUCAUUAACUGGCAGUAGUGUGGGUAUAAAGGCUGUUUUUGGAAGUAGGUAAAACCCAAUAGUCGGGUAUCGAUAAAUGUUUUCAUUCAUCAAAACCGUUACUACAACUUAUUAUCACAUCUUAUUUAAAACUUACCAUUGGUAGAUUAUAAAUAUUAGUAUGUUAAUUUUAAUUUAUUUGUUGGUUGAUUGAACAUCUUUGCGAGUAAUAUUUCGAUUUUUUUUUUCAUGAUUUACUAUUCGGUAUUCGGCUGAACAGUUUACAGUAUUCGUGACAUCUCUAAUAUUCACCGUCUUGUAUAUUUGUUCGCCUCAAUAUCUAUUAAUACUAGUUCCUGUCCUUAGAUGACAAUGUGUAUGUUUAAUUAUUAGUUGAUUUUAAUUAAAUAAUUUAUAAUGUAAGUGAGCAAGAGAAGCUAUGUAAUGUGACAUGGUUUUAGUAUAAUAUGUUAAAAACAUAAUAUUAUGUUGAUGCUAUUACAAUUCGUUCGAAAUUGAUUCUAGGAUUAUAUGAAUAAAGAUCAUGGAACAUGA